AGGACGAACGCUGGCGGCGUGCUUAACACAUGCAAGUCACGGGGGCUUCGUAAGGAGCAACCGGCGAACGGGUGCGUAACACGUGAGCGACCUGCCAUACCUGUGGGGGAUAGCCGGCCCAACGGCCGGGUAAUACCGCAUACGAUCUUUCGGGCGCCUGCUUGGGAGACGAAAGCUGGGGGGUAACCUUUGGCGCAGGAUGAGGGGCUCGCGGCCUAUCAGCUAGUUGGCGGGGUAACGGCCCACCAAGGCGACGACGGGUAGCUGGUCUGAGAGGAUGGCCAGCCACAUUGGGACUGAGAGACGGCCCAGACUCCUACGGGAGGCAGCAGUGGGGAAUCUUGCGCAAUGGCCGGAAGGCUGACGCAGCGACGCCGCGUGUGGGAGGACGCCCUUCGGGUGUAACCACUGUUGCCCGGGACGAAUCUCCUUUGGGGAGACUGACGGUACCGGGUGAGGAAGCACCGGCUAACUCCGUGCCAGCAGCCGC
rnacentral:rRNA from 1 species